rnacentral:rRNA from 1 species
AUUGAACGCUGGCGGCAGGCCUAACACAUGCAAGUCGAGCGGAUGAAGGGAGCUUGCUCCUGGAUUCAGCGGCGGACGGGUGAGUAAUGCCUAGGAAUCUGCCUGGUAGUGGGGGAUAACGUCCGGAAACGGGCGCUAAUACCGCAUACGUCCUGAGGGAGAAAGUGGGGGAUCUUCGGACCUCACGCUAUCAGAUGAGCCUCGGUCGGAUUAGCUAGUUGGUGGGGUAAAGGCCUACCAAGGCGACGUUCCGUAACUGGUCUGAGAGGAUGAUCAGUCACACUGGAACUGAGACACGGUCCAGACUCCUACGGGAGGCAGCAGUGGGGAAUAUUGGACAAUGGGCGAAAGCCUGAUCCAGCCAUGCCGCGUGUGUGAAGAAGGUCUUCGGAUUGUAAAGCACUUUAAGUUGGGAGGAAGGGCAGUAAGUUAAUACCUUGCUGUUUUGACGUUACCAACAGAAUAAGCACCGGCUAACUUCGUG